GAAAAAAAAGGAAAAGCACAGAAACUGAGCAUAUUACACCUCCCCGAUUUCCGAGAUGCAUAAGCAGCAAGUAUUUCCUUGUAAAAAGUAGCUCCAUAGAUACUAAUCACCAGUCUGCAUGAAUGCAGGGGGCUCUAGUCCUUCCCUGUCCUACCUCCUGACACCUCGGUACUGCUAGAGACUUCGUGGAGAGAAAGAGAGGACCCAGAUUUGCCAUUGGGGCUCUCCUAUCAUGGGAGAAACUCCAGUACAUCAGAUGCUGAGUCCUCAGGAGGAGAGACCAAUGACUAAUAAAUCAGGUGGUUCUUCCUUCAGUAUAUAUCACAUACUGGGAUCAAUAAGAAGCAGAAGAAAAAAGUUCUUUUGUUUACAUGAGGGUUCCACAGGGAAGCCGCUCAGUUCUCCAGUGCACUGAACAACAUCAACCCUUAGGCUGAUUUCUCCAGCCCAACCUCCAAUACUUAAAACAAACCAUGAAAGAAUCAGAGACUAAUUCACAGCAUAGCCAACAACUGCAUUACAACAGAGAAACCUCAACCAGCAACUGAAGUUAUUCUUUUGCCAAAGGAACAGGCAACUGCUAGCCACGUAAAAUUAGCACAUCACCUAGAGAAAACUGUUUCAGAAAGCAGUACGUUUCAACCUCUGGUUCACGGCUCAUAGUAAGUUCUUUAGUUGCUAUGUUUUUCUCUGCCUACUUCUAUCUGUAAUGAAUCUACCGCACAAAUCUGAAACUCCUAUGCAUAGAAGCACCCAACACAGGGAAGCAGAUGUAAUUAAACUUCCAAAGACUGGUCACAUUUUCAGUUGGUUGCAGCAAGUGGAGAUGCCAACGCCAGACAAAAUGGUCUUGGAAUAAAGGUCGAGCGCCUCCUCA
rnacentral:lncRNA from 1 species